rnacentral:rRNA from 1 species
UAGAGUUUGAUCCUGGCUCAGAACGAACGCUGGCGGCGUGCUUAACACAUGCAAGUCGAACGGGAUCCAGAGCUUGCUCUGGUGAGAGUGGCGCACGGGUGAGUAACGCGUGGAUAACCUGCCCUGGUAUCUGGAAUAACAUCUCGAAAGGGGUGCUAAUACCGGAUAAGCCUACGGAGCCCUCGGUCUCUGCAGGAAAAGGUGGCCUCUAUUUAUAAGCUACCGUAUCAGGAUGGGUCCGCGUACCAUUAGCUAGUUGGUAGGGUAAUGGCCUACCAAGGCUACGAUGGUUAGCUGGUCUGAGAGGAUGAUCAGCCACACUGGAACUGAGACACGGUCCAGACUCCUACGGGAGGCAGCAGUGGGGAAUAUUGGGCAAUGGACGCAAGUCUGACCCAGCAACGCCGCGUGAAGGAAGAAGGCUUUCGGGUUGUAAACUUCUUUUAACAGGGAAGAGAAGAAGACGGUACCUGUUGAAUAAGCCACGGCUAACUACGUGCCAGCAGCCGCGGUAAUA